rnacentral:rRNA from 1 species
AGUGAACGCUGGCGGCGUGCUUAACACAUGCAAGUCGAACGAGAACGGAUUAUAGCUUGCUAUAAUUGUCAGCUAAGUGGCGCACGGGUGAGUAAUGUAUAGAUAACCUGCCCUCUAGAAAGGAAUAACAGUUGGAAACGACUGCUAAUGCCCUAUAUGCCUUUAAUACAUAAGUAUGCAAGGGAAACGCUUUAGUGCUAGAGGAUGGGUCUGUAUGGUAUCAGCUUGUUGGUGAGGUAAUGGCUCACCAAGGCUAUGACGCCUAACUGGUUUGAGAGUAUGAUCAGUCACACUGGAACUGAGACACGGUCCAGACUCCUACGGGAGGCAGCAGUGGGGAAUAUUGCACAAUGGACGAAAGUCUGAUGCAGCAACGCCGCGUGGAGGAUGACACAUUUCGGUGCGUAAACUCCUUUUAUAUAGGAAGAUAAUGACGGUACUAUAUGAAUAAGCACCGGCUAACUCCGUGCCAGCCGCCGCAGUAA